GAUGAACGCUGGCGGCGUGCCUAAUACAUGCAAGUCGAGCGAACGGACGAGAAGCUUGCUUUUCUGAUGUUAGCGGCGGACGGGUGAGUAACACGUGGAUAACCUACCUAUAAGACUGGGAUAACUUCGGGAAACCGGAGCUAAUACCGGAUAAUAUUUUGAACCGCAUGGUUCAAAAGUGAAAGACGGUCUUGCUGUCACUUAUAGAUGGAUCCGCGCUGCAUUAGCUAGUUGGUAAGGUAACGGCUUACCAAGGCAACGAUGCAUAGCCGACCUGAGAGGGUGAUCGGCCACACUGGAACUGAGACACGGUCCAGACUCCUACGGGAGGCAGCAGUAGGGAAUCUUCCGCAAUGGGCGAAAGCCUGACGGAGCAACGCCGCGUGAGUGAUGAAGGUCUUCGGAUCGUAAAACUCUGUUAUUAGGGAAGAACAUAUGUGUAAGUAACUGUGCACAACUUGACGGUACCUAAUCAGAAAGCCACGGCUAACUACGUG
rnacentral:rRNA from 1 species